rnacentral:rRNA from 1 species
GGGUGGUAAUGCCGGAUGCUCCAGUUGAUCGCAUGGUCUUCUGGGAAAGCUUUCGCGGUAUGGGAUGGGGUCGCGUCCUAUCAGCUUGACGGCGGGGUAACGGCCCACCGUGGCUUCGACGGGUAGCCGGCCUGAGAGGGCGACCGGCCACAUUGGGACUGAGAUACGGCCCAGACUCCUACGGGAGGCAGCAGUGGGGAAUAUUGCACAAUGGGCGCAAGCCUGAUGCAGCGACGCCGCGUGAGGGAUGGAGGCCUUCGGGUUGUAAACCUCUUUUAUCGGGGAGCAAGCGAGAGUGAGUUUACCCGUUGAAUAAGCACCGGCUAACUACGUGCCAGCAGCCGCGGUAAUACGUAGGGUGCAAGCGUUAUCCGGAAUUAUUGGGCGUAAAGGGCUCGUAGGCGGUUCGUCGCGUCCGGUGUGAAAGUCCAUCGCUUAACGGUGGAUCCGCGCCGGGUACGGGCGGGCUUGAGUGCGGUAGGGGAGACUGGAAUUCCCGGUGUAACGGUGGAAUGUGUAGAUAUCGGGAA